GAACGUGGGAGUCCCUGGCGUUCCUCUUGGCGUCGGUGGCGGAGAAGACGGUGUAGACGAGGACGAAGGUGCCGAUGAUCUCGGCGCCGAGCCCGGAGCCCUUGGUGUAGCCGGACGCCACCACGUUGGCGCCGCCGCCGUUGCCCAUGUACAGGCCCUGCUGGAACCCCUUGACCACGCCGGCGCCGCAGAUGGCGCCCAGGCACUGCAUGAUGAUGUAGAACACCGCCCUCGUCAGCGACAGCUUCCUCGCCAGGAACAGCCCGAAGGUCACCGCCGGGUUGAUGUGCCCGCCUGCAUCCCAAUCCCAUCCAUCCAUCCAUCCGUUAGCAGUCAGCAAAAACGGAAGAAGAAAAACACAGGAAAAGGCUACAGGAAUCAAGAAAAAACAGUACCAGAGAUGCCGGCGGUGCAGUAGACGAGGGCGAAGAUCAUGCCGCCGAAGGACCAGGCGAUGCCCUGGAUGCCGACGGUGGCGCACUUGGAGGCGGCGCCGCUGUAGCCCAUGACGGUGAGGAUGGUGACGUAGAGGAAGAGGAAGGUGGCCAUGAACUCGGCGAUGCCGGCGCGGUAGAAGGACCACGACUUGAGCUCGCCGGGCUCGAACAGCGGCGCCGGCGGGGGCUCCUUGUAGUCCUUGUCCUCGGACCCCUGCGCCGCCGUGCCGAUGGGCUGCCGCUCCGAGUACUUGUUCGCCCCGAGGCGCACGUCCUCCUCCUUGCCCUCCAUCGCUGCUGCCCUCGCCGGAGGCCGGUGGUCGCUGUCUCGCCUGAGCUGGAACGGAACGAGAUGGGCGGCUUUGGUGUGAGCGUGUGGUGAGGGUAGCACUGGGAGUGAAGAGUCUUAUAGGGGCAAGCGGCGGUUCUGGAAGGAAGGGGUGGAGGACGGCGGGUGACGAGGACGGCGGGUGGUGGCCCGGCGUGACAGCGGGGAGGAGCGGGCUGGCUUGCUGUUUAGCCUGUUUGUUUGUUGCCUAGCUUGCCGCUGCUGCAGCGCCCUUGUUUGCUUGCUUAUCCGCUUGUGUUUAACGUUUGAACAAAUAAAUAUUCCUUUUAAAGCUAAAAACACGAAUGAUUAUUUUUCCAAGCUCGGAGAAUCGGUGCAACUGCUGCGUGAUCAAUCAGUGCCCUGCAAAUUGUAAUUGCUAUUUUGUCAACUAUCUGAGAACAUCAAUUCGGCAUCAGGUAGCCAAAUGCUUCUCAUGUCCACCAUUUUGCAAGACCUUAGAGCACCUCCAACAAGACGACACGCACUAAAAUAACAUUUACAAUGUUGAAAUAACAAUUUUUUUAGGCACAGCAGAACACUGGUUCCAACGGUCACUCCAAAAUAUUACGGGGUUGUUUGGUUCCCAGCCUAAGGUUGUCAUGCCUAACCUUAAUCAUGUCAUAAUACUUUAGGCAUGUGUUUGGUUCAUUACCACACUUAUGGCUUGCCACAUUUUUAUAGAUAUAUGGUCCAUAUGUCAUAGACUCAUUUUUUACCAAAUCUUGCCACACUUGUGGUGUCCAUUUUGUUAGCCACACUUUUUGUGGCAGCCACACUUUGCCUAAGGUUAGUUGUGGUAAAGUUAGUCAUGAACCAAACAGGCCCUACACGCGUGAGCCGUUACUGCAUAGUCGAGUACAAACAACAUUUGACACUCAAACAACAUCAAAAAGAUCAAACACAUAAAAAAUAAAUCAGCAAUAAAUAAUUCAAUUUUAUUUAUAACUCAAACAAAUAGUUUAUUUUCCAAUACAACAAAUAGUUCAACAAUACAACAUUAAACAUACAAAUCACUAGUUUUGUCGGCCAUCCAUGCCCACCACUCCUUCUUUAGAUCUUUCUCAAAAUUAUGAUGCGUUUCGACGCGUCAAAUGAUAUGAUAGGAGGCAACAAAUCAGGCCAUCCUUUCAGCCCUCCGUCGUACUCGCACUAGACGUCCCAAGAGGUCACAUUUGGAGUUGUCUAAAUCUUGCCGACGUUCAUUCUCGAUGAUCAUGUUAUGCAUGAUCACACAAGCGUUCAUGAUGUACCAAAGGAUCUUUUGAUCCCAAAAUCUAGCCGGUCCACUCACGAUAGCAAAUUCGGCUUGCAAAAUCCCAAAAGCUCUCUCCACAUCUUUCCUAAAUGCCGCUUGAGCAUCGUGGAAAUGAAGAUUUUACUUACCUUUCGAUUUUUUCAACGGCGUAACAAAUGUUUGCCACUUUGGAUAGAUGUCAUCCGCAAGAUAGUAGCCAUAGUUGCAUGUAUGGCAAUUUGCUACAAACUGCACACGUGGUUGUUCAUCAUUUGCAAUCCUAUUCAUGAGUGGUGACCGAUUAAGAACGUGAUGUCAUUCAAAGAUCCAUGCAUUUCAAAAAAAGCAUGUCAAAUCCAAGUCUCUUGAUCGGCCACUCCUUCAAGGAUUAUAGUGGAACCCUUUUUUUGGUCGUGAAAUUGUCCGUACCAUGCCUUAUGACAAUUCUUCCAACUCCAAUGCAUGCAAUCUAUUGAGCCAAGCAUACCUGGAAACCCGCGAGCUUUGUUCAUAUCCAAAAGCCUUGCGGCGUCUUCAACAUUGGGAGCUCUGAAAUACUCCAGACCAAACACUUGCACAAUUCCAACUGCAAAGCGCUUGACACAUAUGAUGGCUUGAUUCUCACCCAUGGCCAAACGGUCAUCAACUAGAUUAGCAGGAAUAACAUAUGCCAACAUACGCAAAGCGGUUGUCACCUUUUGAAAGGUGCUAUGCCCGAGUUCUCCAGGGGCAUUCCUCCUUCGUUGAAAAAACAGAUCAUGGCUUGCUAGUUUAUCUGCGAUGCGUUUGAACAACUCGGUGCACAUCCUAAAACGACACCGAAAGUAGGAGUCAGGGUAUACAGGAUUAUCCACAAAAUAGUGCCUCAUCAAUCUGUUGUUGGCAUUGAUCUUAUCCCUCCAAAUUUUCUGACGACCCAUAACCGAACCAACGUGCUUCGACUUUCUAUUGACGUGCAUAGCUAUGAUCAUUGCAAGGUCCUCCUCCACCUGAUAAUCAAAUUAUUCGCCGAAAGAAUCAUAUGAAGAACCCAUCUACAAUAUUGAUUUUAAACUAGUCUAUAAAACUACAAACAACAUGCACCAAAUUCUUCUACAAAAUAUGAAGUUGAAGCAAUACAUACCUUGCAAGCGUUUUGUCAAACACCUUGUGGAGCGACAGUGGGCGACCGAGUGCUGUUCGUCGAAGGAAUGGCGCGCUUGAGGGGCGGCGACGAUGAGAGGAGGUGGAGGAAGGAGCGGCGGCGCGCGGUGAUAGGUCAGGGAAGCUGUUGGAAAUAUGCCCUAGAGGCAAUGAUAAAUAGUUAUAUUAUAUUUCUUGUUUAAAGAUAAUUGUUUAUUAUCCAUGCUAUAAUUGUAUUGAGUGAAAACAUAGAUACAUGUGUGGAUAUAUAGACAAAACAAUGUCCCUAGCAAGCCUCUAGUUGCCUGGCUAGUUAAUCAAAGAUAGUCAAGGUUUUCUGACUAUGAGCAAAGUGUUGUUGCUUGAUAACUGCAUCACAUCAUUAGGAGAAUCAUGUGAUGGACUAGACCCAAACUAUGAACGUAGCAUAUUGAUCGUGUCAUUUUAUUGCUAUUGUUUUUUGCGUGUCAAGUAUUUGUUCCUAUGAGAAUGAGAUCAUAUAACUCACUGGCACCGGAGGAAUACCUUGCGUGCAUCAAACGUCACAACGUAAUUGAGUGACUAUAAAGGUGUUCUACAGGUAUCUCCGAAGGUGUCCUUUGAGUUAGUAUGGAUCAAGACUGGGAUUUGUCACUCCGUGUGACGGAGAGGUAUCUCGGGGCCCACUCGGUAAUACAACAUCACACACAAGCCUUGCAAGCAAUGUGGCUAAGUGUAAGUCACGGGAUCUUGUAUUACGGAACGAGCAAAGAGACUUGCCGGUAACGAGAUUGAAGUAGGUUUGCGGAUACCGACGAUCAAAUCUCGGGCAAGUAACAUACCCAAUGACAAAGGGAAUGACAUACACGAUUAUAUGAAUCAUCCAGGUCCCGCUAUUGGAUAUUGACCGAUGAGUUACUCGGGGCAUGUCUACAUAGUUCUCGAACCCGUAGGGUCUGCACACUUAAGGUUCUAUGAUGUUUUAGUAUAGUUGAGUUAUAUGUGUGGUUACCUAAUGUUGUUCGGAAUCCCGGAUGAGAUCACGGACGUCACGAGGGUUUCCGGAAUGGUCGGGAAACAAAGAUUGAUAUAUAGGAUGACUUCAUUUGGUUACCGGAAGGUUUUCGGGCAUUAUCGGGAUUGUACCGAGAGUGACGAAUGGGUUCCGGAUGUUCACCGGGAGGGGGCAACCCAUCCGGGGAAGCCCAAAGGCCCUAGGGGUGGCGCACCAGCCCUUAGUGGGCUGGUGGGACAACCCAAGAGGGCCUAUGCGCCAAGGAAAGAAAAAAACCAAAAAGAAAAAAAAAGAAAGGUGGGAAGGAAGAGAAGGACUCCACUUUCCAAUCCUAUUUGGACUAGGAUUGGAGUAUGACUCCUCCUCCUCCCUAGCCGGCGCACCCUUGAGGGCUUGGCCCUAAAGGCAAGCCUCCCCCCUCCCUCCUAUAUAUAGUGGUGAUUUAGGGCUGAUUUGAGACAAAUUUUGCCACGUGCAACUUAGAUCUAGACACCAUAGUUUUACCUCUAGAUCGUAUUUCUGCGGAGCUCGGGCGGAGCCCUGCAGGAGUAGAUCCUUCACCACCACCGGAGCGCCGUCACGCUGCCGGAGAACUCGUCUACUUCUCCGUCUUGCUUGCUGGAUCAAUAAGGCCAAGAUCAUCGUCGAGCUGUACGUGUGCUGAACGCGGAGGUGUCGUCCGUUCGGCACUAGAUCGGCACGGAUCGUGGGACGGAUCGCGGGAUGGUCCGUGGGACGGUUCGCGGGGCGGAUCGAGGGACGUGAGGAUGUUCCACUACACCAAUCGCGUUUCUUAACGCUUCCUGCUUUGCGAUCUACAAGGGUACGUAGAUCCAAAUCUCCUCUCGUAGAUGGACAUCACCAUGAUAGGUCUUCGUGUGCGUAGGAAAUUUUUUGUUUCCCAUGCAACGUUCCCCAACAGAAGCGUCGUCGGGGCGCAGGGGUAAAUGGGGAGGUGCGGUCGACGACGCUAGCGGAUGGAUCCGGCGUUUGGUGGAAGUCGCGCGCGAGUCAUCGUUGUCAAGCGUGCGGGGUCGGGCGCACAAAAUAAGCGACGCGCGAUGUCGUUUUGCUCCAUGCGCUGAACCAACUAUAGAUCCAUAGGACAUCAGCAAAAUAAAACAUACAACUCAAACCAAUCAAGAUCAUCAAUCAACCCAAAGGACAAACAAAAUCUACUCAAACGUCAUAGGGUGGCAAAACAUCAUUGGAUAAUAAUAUGUGGCAUAAAGCAACAUGUUGAAGUAUGGGAUUACAACGGUAUGGAGGAGAGUGGACUAUUGGAAAUAGGACCUUGAGGCAAUAAUAAAUUACUUAUUACUAUAUUUCCUUGUUCAUGAUAUUCGUUUUUAUCCAUGCUAGAAUUGUAUUGCUUGGAAACUCAAAUACAUGUGUGGAUACAUGGACAACACACUGUCCCUACUGAGCCUCUAAAGGACUUGCUCGUUCAUCAAAGAUGGUCAAGGUUUCCUGACCAUAGACAUAUGUGCUCAUUUGAUAACGGGAUCACGUCAUUAGGAGAAUGAUGUGAUGGACAAGACCCAAACUAUAAACGUAGCAUAUGAUUGUGUCAGUUUAUUGUUACUGUUUUCUGCAUGUCAAGUAUGUGUUCCUACGACCAUGAUAUCACGCAACUCCCGGACAUCGGAGGAAUGCCUUGUGUGUAUCAAACGUCACAACAUAACUGGGUGACUAUAAAGGUGCUCUAGAGGUAUCUCCAAGGGUGUCCGUUGGGUUGGCAUGAAUCGAGAUUGGGAUUUGUCAUUCCGUAUGACGAAGAGGUAUCUCUAGGGCCCACUCGAUAAUACAACAUCACAAUGAGCUUGCAAGAAAUGUGACUAAGGAGUUAGUCAUGGGAUCUUGUAUUAUGGAACGAGUAAAGCGACUUGUCGGUGAUGAGAUUAAACCACGUAUGGAGAUACCAAUGAUCAAAUCUCGGGCAAGUAACAUACCGAUGGACAAAGGGAACAUUAUACAAGAUUGAUUGAAUCCUUGACAUCGUGGUUCGACUGAUAAAGAUCUUCGUAGAAUAUGUAGGAGCUAAUAUGGGCAUCCAGGUCCCGCUAUUGAUUAUUGACCGGAGAGUGUCUCACGUCAUGUCUGCAUAGUUCUCGAACCCGCACGGUCUGCACACUUAAGGUCAGUGACGAUUUGGUAUUGUUGAGUUAUGAAUGAUGGUGACCGAAGGUUAUUCGGAGUCCUGGAUGAGAUCCCAGACGUCUCGAGGAGCUCCGGAAUGGUCCAGAGGUAGAGAUUUAUAUAUGGGAAGUCAUAUUUUGGUUACCGGAAAAGGUUCGGGUUUUUUCGAUAUUGUACCGGGAAGGUUCUAGAAGGUUCCGGAAACUUAUGGAGGAGUCCAGAAGUCCACCGAGGGUUCUAACACGUCCCAAGGGUUUGCAUGGGCUGAGAGGAGACAUCAUGGCCUUAUUGGGCCAAGCACACAAGUCCCUCAAGGCCCAUGCAGUUGGGAAAGGUGGAAAGUCCAUCUUUACAUGGAAGGGAAGGAGGGGGACUAGGAUUCCACCCUCCUUGGCUACACCUUAGGGCUUGGAGGGGCUGUUCCCCACGCACUCCACCUAUAUAUAGAGGGGAGGGGCACCCCAAAAGUACACAUGAAUCCCUUGGUGCCCCUCUCUCUCCCUAGAUCGUCUUCUCCCCCGUUCGCGGUUUCGAUAACGCUAGGCGUAGCCCUGCGGGGACAGCUACACCACCACCACCGUCACGCCGUUGCGCUGCCAGAGAAAUCAUCUACCUCUUUAUCCUCGCUUGCUGGAACAAGGAGGUGGAGAACGUCAUCGAGUUGUAUGUGUGCUGAACGCGGAGGUGUCGUCCAGCCGACACUAGAUGAUAACGGAUCGUGAUGGGUGAUACGUCUCCGUCGUAUCUACUUUUCCGAACUCUUUUGCCCUUGUUUUGGACUCUAUUUUGCAUGAUUUGAAUGGAACUAACCGGACUGACGCUGUUUUCAGCAGAAUUGCCAUGGUGUUGUUUUUAUGCAGAAAUAAAAGUUCUCGGAAUGUCCUGAAAAUUUACGGAGAUUUUUCUGGAAUAAAAGAAAAAUACCUGCGCAAAGAUCCACCAGAGGGGGCGUGCCAGUGGGCCACAAGCCCACAUGCCGCGGCCACCCCCCUAGGCCGCGCCGUGAGGGCUUGUGGGGCCCACGUGGCACCACCGCCCCCAAACUCAGCUCUAUAUCUUCCAUCUCGCCCGGAAAAAAAUCAGAGAGAUGGUUUCAUCGCGUUUUGCGAUACGGAGGCGCAGCCACAUCCUGUUCUUCAUCUGGAGGGCAGAUCUGGAGUCCGUUUCGGGCUCUAGAGAGGGGAAAUCGUCGCCAUCGUCAUCAUCAACCUUUCUCCAUCGACAAUUCCAUGAUGCUCUUCAUCGUUCGUGAGUAAUCUCAUCGUAGGCUUGCUGGACGGUGAUGAGUUGGAUGAGAUCUAUCAUGUAAUCGAGUUAGUUCUUGACGGGGAUUGAUCCCUAGUAUCCACUAUGUUCUAGAUUNNNNNNNNNNNNNNNNNNNNNNNNNNNNNNNNNNNNNNNNNNNNNNNNNNNNNNNNNNNNNNNNNNNNNNNNNNNNNNNNNNNNNNNNNNNNNNNNNNNNUAAUCUAAGGCAUACGGGCUAUCCGGACACGCACGAAAAUUAAACACGGGCAAUAUACUAUUGGGACAGCAUGUAAAUCUAGGCAUACGACACGUCAAACAACGUCAAAUAAAUAUGCAAGUAGUGAAAUCGUGUUCUACUCAAAAAGUUACACGAGAUACAUAUCUAAAUCUUCGCGAUCCGACUUACGGGUAAAAAGUUACAGGUAUUUUAAAAUCGUCUACAUUCUAGAAUUUAAUAAUUCCGAAAAAAUUCCUAUUAACUAGCGGGCCUAACAGGGCAUGGGCGGACGGUAGUAAAAUGUGCACAAAGCGCUGGGUAGUAUGGGGCGCUCACCUCGGGCCUAACAGGACGGCUGGGGGAAUGCAGAGCUGGGCUUGGGGAGGUGCAGCGCUGGUUGGGCCGGGAGGAGCUGCUGGCCAGCUGGGCCGGCUCGGGGCCCGGGUCGAGGAGGCAGCGCUCCUCCCCGUUGCUCACUCGUUCCCGAGCUCGCCAGGACGGCGGCGCGCAGGCUCACCUGCCAGCAGGAGGAGGGGCAGGGGCGAGGCACCGGCGAGGAAAGGCGCGGAGGGGAACCGGGAGUCGUCGGCGCCGGCGAAAACAAAGCGGGACCAACCGGAUCUACCCGGAUCCGGGCCGGGGCAGCGACGGUAGACGAGGUGACCGGCGGCGAGCUCGGGCCAAGCCCUCUGAGCGGCGACGACCAUGCCAUGGGGCGGGCUGUGCGGAUCGGUGGCCUUCCGACGUGGUGCCGGGCGGCGUUGCCGGCGGCUGCACGGGCUGCAGCCUGGAGGAAGCGGUGCGCCAUGUGUGCGGGUAGCCGGGCUGCUCCUCCUGACCGAGGAGGAGGACGGGACGAGCCGGGANNNNNNNNNNNNNNNNNNNNNNNNNNNNNNNNNNNNNNNNNNNNNNNNNNNNNNNNNNNNNNNNNNNNNNNNNNNNNNNNNNNNNNNNNNNNNNNNNNNNCAGACAAAGAGUAAAUCAGGAUGAUCAACACACAAAGCAUAUAAGAUGUACCGAGAGGGAUCAAGUGAUCCCAUGGUAUGGUAAGAAUUGUCCAUUACGUGUUUGUGUACUAACCCAUGGUCUUUGUGAGAGUCCUAUGUGGGGGUUAAGUGUGCUUCCAUGGGCUUGCGUCAAAAGGAAGAUCUCAUACAACCCACGAAGGAUGACGUCAAGUGGUGAUGGUCAUCAAUAUUGUGGUGUGCAAGUUCAAGUGGAUCAACAUGAAUAUAUCAUUGAAACUGUUGUUAAUGAUCAUGUGUUGAUAAGGACAAGCUCAUGUGCUAACAAGGACAAGAUCGAGAUAAGCAUUCCUGAGCACUACAUGCUUGAUUCUUGUGGAUGUUCACAUGGUGGACAAAUGAAGAUGAAUAUAUAAGCUAGGCUUUCCGUAUUGUGUAUGGGAGAGCUACUUGAAGACUUCAUCAUGUCUUGCUUUCAACAUUGAGCCAAGAAAGAACAAGAACAUCAAGCUCAAGUGAAAGGGCUAGCUCAAAGGUAUCAGUCCCUUUGAUGUUAGUGGUGUGGAGUGAUGAUCAGCGAAUAAAAGUAUACACUCAAGUAUGGAUCAUCGGUACCCUUUUACAAUUCUUGAGUCUUUAGGGAUCCCGCACUAUUAAGAGGGGAUCACAGGUUUUGUGAUGAACUUGCUCAAACUAGAUAUGCACUGUUCUGCUCAUACCACAUCUCCACUGCUCUGCUGUUAUCAGAAAACAGAACCAGUGCCUUGGACAUCCGGCUUCCUCCGGACGUCCGAGGGCCGGACGAACGACUUCUUCGGAAAUCCGGAAUCCUAUACCAGAGAAAUCAGAGCCAUAUAACUNNNNNNNNNNCGUUGGAAAUAUUCCCUAGAGGCAAUAAAAAAACUGUUAUUAUCAUAUUUCCUUGUUCAUGAUAAUCGUCUAUUGUUCAUGCUAUAAUUGUAUUAACAGGAAACAGUAAUACAUGUGUGAAUAAAUAGAUCACAAUGUAUCCCUAGCAAGCCUGUAGUUGGCUAGCUCGUUAGUCAAUAGAUGAUCAUGGUUUCCUGAUCAUGGGCAUUAGAUGUCAUUGAUAACGGGAUCACAUCAUUGGGAGAAUGAUGUGAUGGACAAGACCCAAUCCUAAGCCUAGCACUAGAUCGUAUUGUUCGUAUGCUAAUGCUUUUCUAAUGUCAAGUAUCUUUUCCUUCGACCGUGAGAUUGUGCAACUCCCGGAUACCGUNNNNNNNNNNNNNNNNNNNNNNNNNNNNNNNNNNNNNNNNNNNNNNNNNNNNNNNNNNNNNNNNNNNNNNNNNNNNNNNNNNNNNNNNNNNNNNNNNNNNUAGGGAAAAGAACUUGCAUGACAUCUAUUGUCCAUCCCUCCCGUGGCAGCGGGGUCCUAAUGGAAACUACGGGAUAUUAAGGUUCUCCUUUUAAUAAAGAACCGGACCAACGCAUUAACAUUUGGUGAAUACAUGAACUCCUCAUACUAUGGUCAUCUCCGGGAGUGGUUCCGGCUAUUGUCACUCCGGGGUUGCCGGGUCAUAACACAUAGUAGGUGACUACAACUUGCAAGAUAGGAUCUAAAACACACAUAUAUUGGCGACAACAUAAUAGGUUCAGAUCUCAAAUCAUGGCACUCGGGCCCUCGUGACAAGCAUUAAGCAUGGCAAAGUAGUAGCAACAUCAAUCUAGAACAUAGUGGAUACUAGGGAUCAAUCCCCGUCAAGAACUAAUCCGAUUACAUGAUAGAUCUCAUCCAACUCAUAAGAAGAUAGGCUCAUAAGAAGAUAGCUUCAACGCUCCGGGUCGAAAAGAGAGGAAUAAAUAACAAGAUAGGCUCAUAAGAAUUCCCAACAUAGGAAAGAAUUACAAGGAUGAAUGGACAAGAUGACACGGACAACUAAAUUGAAUUCACCGGUAAGGAUGACAAGAAUGAAUAAAUAUGACACGAAUGUCCUAAGAAUCUUCACAACGAAUCACCGGGUAAGAGAGAAAAGAACAGAGAGCGGAAGCACCAAGAAGAGGAAACUCUUGGAUGAAAAUCCAAUCACUGAAGAAAAGGGUGGGAGGGCGGGUAAAACAAAAGACAACUUGGGCUAGAUGAGAUGAACUCCGGAAUAAAAUGAGAGAAAGAUCUUGCAAAUAUUAGAGAGGAUUGAAUCCACUUGGAGAGAAACACACCGGUCGAAAAAGAACUGACAUGACGACUCCGGUUGACAAGAAUUGACAUGACAAUUGAACGAACAAAAGAAUUUGCAUUCUCACAUAAAAAUAUGAGAACACCACUUAGGAAAGAUCUGAAAUCACCACUUGACAUCGAAGCAACUUGAAUUACCAUAUUAAAACAAAACAAAGGGUGAGGCUUAUGAAACAAGCCAGAACAAACUCAUGAGAGAGAUUUCGUCCGAUAUUUUCAUGGACAGGAUCGCACGGGCUCUAUCCUUACAGUAGCCAUCAAGUGCAAGGCAGUGCACCUGACAUACGAAGCGUCCCCGAGUCGUAGCAAGCUACAAGGACUCUUUAAGACACAACGUGUAUUGCUGUAAGUCGACCGUGAACAAACGAAUCCACUAGAUGUCGAACCCCAACCUAACAUCAUGCAUUUGUUGGAAGAUUGUCCUAUAAGCAACUACUUGAAUUCCCACCUAUGAAUUCCCGAAAUAUCUGGUCAUGCAAUCUGGUACACGGAUACAAGGAGUAAUAUCACACAACUCCUAUACGAACCCGUCACCUGUAUCACAUCUGUCAACACACAACCAGAAUCUCGGACCUUCAUCUACUACAGACCCUCGUGAUCACGACGAUACAAAGUAUGGCAGUACUCCCGAACAAUCUGCACCAGUACUGGGGACAUCGGGGUUAUCUCGCCUACUAGUAUUGAAGCAAUUACGAACAUCCUUCGUCCUGAGAUACUAAGAAAUCUGAAUGAUAACGAUAUGCUCAAGAAUCCCCUGGACCUCAACUCCCCUGAAACUUAGAGGAGAUAGGAGGCACCAAGACAGAACUUCGUCACAUCGGCAUCAUAUAGAUUCCAAAAAUAUCCGCGUGAUCCUAAAAAAAUUUGAGUGAGAAGAGGAGUAGAAUUAAAUUAUGACGUCAAGAUUCCUCACCAGAGCAUAGAAGCGGAGAAAAAAGAAUCCUACUCUCCGACAUAUAACUAGACUCAAAGCAGUUUUUUCACUAGACUCGACUCGGCCAUGUUCGAUCAAUCAAGGGGGCUCCUAGGUUGGUACGGCUCUGAUACCAACUUGUCACGCCCAAGAUGUGACCCUAUCCUCAAUUUGGCGCGAAGGCCUCGUCAGGGGUAGAAGCGCAUCUCGU
rnacentral:lncRNA from 1 species